rnacentral:rRNA from 1 species
UAGCGGAGGAAAAGAAACUAACAAGGAUUCCCCUAGUAACGGCGAGUGAAGCGGGAAGAGCUCAAAUUUGAAAUCUGGCAGUCUUCGAUUGUCCGAGUUGUAAUCUAUAGAGGCGUUUUCCGUGCCGGACCGUGUCCAAGUCUCCUGGAAAGGAGUAUCAAAGAGGGUGAUAAUCCCGUACUUAACACGACCACCGGUGCUCUGUGAUACGUCUUCUACGAGUCGA